GACGAACGCUGGCGGCGUGCCUAAUACAUGCAAGUUGAGCGCUGAAGGUUGGUACUUGUACCAACUGGAUGAGCAGCGAACGGGUGAGUAACGCGUGGGGAAUCUGCCUUUGAGCGGGGGACAACAUUUGGAAACGAAUGCUAAUACCGCAUAAAAACUUUAAACACAAGUUUUAAGUUUGAAAGAUGCAAUUGCAUCACUCAAAGAUGAUCCCGCGUUGUAUUAGCUAGUUGGUGAGGUAAAGGCUCACCAAGGCGAUGAUACAUAGCCGACCUGAGAGGGUGGUCGGCCACAUUGGGACCGGGACACGGCCCAAACCCCUACGGGAGGCAGCAGGAGGGAAUCUUCGGCAAUGGACGAAAGUCUGACCGAGCAACGCCGCGUGAGUGAAGAAGGGUUUCGGAUCGUAAAACUCUGUUGGUAGAGAAGAACGUUGGUGAGAGUGGAAAGCUCAUCAAGUGACGGUAACUACCCAGAAAGGGACGGCUAACUACGUG
rnacentral:rRNA from 1 species